rnacentral:SRP_RNA from 2 species
GCUGGGCAUAGUGGCAUGCACCUGUAGUCCUAGCUACUCAGGGGGCUGAGGCAGGGGGAUCACUUGAGCCCAGGAGUUCAAGGCUGCAGUGAGCUAUGAUGGUGCCACUGCAUUCUAGCCUGGGCAACAGAGUGAAACACUGUCUCUA